AGAGUUUGAUCCUGGCUCAGAACAAACGCUGGCGGCGUGUCUUAAGCAUGCAAGUCGAGCGGCAAGGGCAGCAAUGCCCCUAGAGCGGCGGACUGGAGAGUAACGCGUGGGUGAUCUACCUUGGGCAUGGGGAUAGCCAUUAGAAAUAGUGGGUAAUACCGAAUACGUUCGUUAUCGUGAGGGUAACGAGGAAAGGCGCUACGGCGCCGGCCUGAAGAUGAGCUUGCGUCCCAUUAGCUAGUUGAUGAGGUAACGGCCCACCAAGGCGAUGAUGGGUAGCCGGCCUGAGAGGGUGUACGGCCACACUGGGACUGAGAUACGGCCCAGACUCCUACGGGAGGCAGCAGCUAAGAAUAUUCCGCAAUGGACGAAAGUCUGACGGAGCGACGCCGCGUGGAUGAAGAAGGCCGAAAGGUUGUAAAGUCCUUUUGCUGGGGAAGAAUAAUGUCAGGAGGGAAUGCCUGGCAGAUGACAUGAACCGGCGAAUAAGCCCCGGCUAACUACGUGCCAGCAGCCGCGGUAACACGUAGGGGGCGAGCGUUGUUCGGAAUUACUGGGCGUAAAGGGCAUGUAGGCGGCCUUGUAAGCCUGGCGUGAAAUUCCACGGCUUAACCGUGGGAAUGCGUUGGGAACUGCGAGGCUUGAGUGACGGAGAGGGAGCUAGAAUUCCUGGUGUAGGGGUGGAAUCUGUAGAGAUCAGGAAGAAUACCAAUGGCGAAGGCAAGCUCCUGGCCGAUGACUGACGCUGAGGUGCGAAAGUGUGGGGAUCAAACAGGAUUAGAUACCCUGGUAGUCC
rnacentral:rRNA from 1 species